GCAGGGGUUACCGAGCCAGGUCAAAGGUGCGGGAUUUAGGGUCCCGUCCCGUAGGGGUUCGAGGGUUCGAAUCCCUCCCCCUGCA
rfam:Aciduliprofundum boonei T469, complete genome.